rnacentral:rRNA from 1 species
GCCAGACUCCUACGGGAGGCAGCAGUGGGGAAUAUUGCACAAUGGGGGGAACCCUGAUGCAGCGACGCCGCGUGGGUGAAGGAGCACCUCGGUGCGUAAAGCCCUAUCGGCAGGGAAGAAGGAGGACGGUACCUGACUAAGAAGCCCCGGCUAACUACGUGCCAGCAGCCGCGGUAAUACGUAGGGGGCAAGCGUUAUCCGGAUUUACUGGGUGUAAAGGGGGCGCAGACGGCAGCGCAAGCCAGGAGUGAAAGCCCGGGGCCCAACCCCGGGACUGCUCUUGGAACUGCGCGGCUGGAGUGCAGGAGGGGCAGGCGGAAUUCCUGGUGUAGCGGUGAAAUGCGUAGAUAUCAGGAGGAACACCGGUGGCGAAGGCGGCCUGCUGGACUGCGACUGACGUUGAGGCCCGAAAGCGUGGGGAGCAAACAGGAUUAGAUACCCGAGUACA